rnacentral:rRNA from 1 species
GAUGAACGCUGGCGGCGUGCCUAAUACACGCAAGUCGAGCGAACAGACGAGGAGCUUGCUCCUCUGACGUUAGCGGCGGACGGGUGAGUAACACGUGGAUAACCUACCUAUAAGACUGGGAUAACUUCGGGAAACCGGAGCUAAUACCGGAUAAUAUAUUGAACCGCAUGGUUCAAUAGUGAAAGACGGUUUUGCUGUCACUUAUAGAUGGAUCCGCGCCGCAUUAGCUAGUUGGUAAGGUAACGGCUUACCAAGGCGACGAUGCGUAGCCGACCUGAGAGGGUGAUCGGCCACACUGGAACUGAGACACGGUCCAGACUCCUACGGGAGGCAGCAGUAGGGAAUCUUCCGCAAUGGGCGAAAGCCUGACGGAGCAACGCCGCGUGAGUGAUGAAGGUCUUCGGAUCGUAAAACUCUGAUAUUAGGGAAGAACAAAUGUGUAAGUAACUAUGCACGUCUUGACGGUACCUAAUCAGAAAGCCACGGCUAACUACGUG